AAACACUUUGGAUAUACAUACUACCUUUGUACUGCCCAAGUCAGAGAGCUACAAGUGUGCCCAUCCUCCAGAAAGUGUGCACUGUAGCCAUUAGGUGUGAAUCACCGCCUACCCUUUCUUGCCUGCCUGACACCCAAUGAAUGGUACUUGUAUAUGUGGAUAGUGGCCAGAUCAUUGUAUGUUCAUAAUUUUAUUGGACAAUAAGGAGAAUAAGAACCUUACAGAAUGUAUACAUCUACCCCACAAAGCUCCUGAAGUAACUUCGAACCACUAUGUAAAUUGGAUGCAUUUAUUUCCCAAAACCCCAAAGUCCAAAAGUAGCUGGAGGAUAUGAUGAUUUGAACCCAGGUAUCAAAGUUCACUUUUUUCACUAUGCUCAUUUAAUCAUUCAGUCAUUUAUUUGAUAAUUAUUCAUUGGGUGUUCAUUUGGAGCCAUGUUUUAUAAUAGCUUGGAAUAUACUCAUGAACAGAGCAAGACAUUCCCUUCCCUGAUAGAACUAACGUUUUUUUGAAAUGUGGCCUCUCAUUUCUUUGACAUCAUUGUGAGUCCCCUUAAGGGCAGAGGCCAAGUGAUAGAGCAACAGGCUUAAUUGCAAGAUUUCUCCAACAGAGCUGCCUCAAGCAUAUUUAUUGAUUGAAUAACCUUGUAGUUGAUUAAUUCAAAUGAU